rnacentral:rRNA from 1 species
UCGACUGUUUACCAAAAACAUAGCCCUUAAAUAAAUUAAAGGUGUAACCUGCCCAAUGAUUACUAAUCAAAAAAUAUUAAAAUUAUUUUAAAGUAAUUUAAAGGACGCGGUAUCUUGACCGUGGUAAUGUAGCAUAAUCACUCGCCAUUUAAUUGAUGGAUAGUAUGAAUGGUUGAACGAAUAUAACACUGUCUCAAAUAGAGAAUUAAUGAAACUGGAAUAAUAGUAAAGAUACUAUUUAAAAUUGUAAGACGAAAAGACCCUAUAGAGCUUAACUAUAUUCUUAUUUAUAAUAUAAUAAAUUUAUUUAUUAAACAAUAAGAAAGGUAGUUUAGUUGGGGCGACUGCCUUCUAAAUUUAACGAAGGUAAGCAAUAUUAAUAAAAAGAUUAACUGUAUAAUACAUAAAUUUAACAGUUACAAAAGUAGGCUAUAUUGACCCGUUUUUAUUAAAGAACAAGAAAAAACGAUCAAUAAAUAAAAGCUACCUUAGGGAUAACAGGAUAAUUUUAUUUUAGAGAUCUAAUCGAAAAUAAAGUUUGUCACCUCUAUGUUGAAUUAAGGUAACCUAAUAGUGCAGAAGCUAUUGAGGGUAGGUCUGUUCGACCUUUAAAACCUUACAUGAUUUGAGUUC